rnacentral:piRNA from 1 species
CCAUGAUGUACUCAGGGGAGCUCAAGU